AUAUACGAGGGUUGUCCCGUAAAAUCGUGGACAAAGCGUUUUUCUCGAAAAUUUCUCGAGCAUUCGAAAUGGGAAAGUGGUAAACACAACACACGAAAAAUGGUGACGUUUUAUGACGUUACGGCGCACCGGAGAACAGUUCAGUUUUAUUUCGAUGUUGUAAUGACACCUUUAGAGACUUGAAAUGACCAUAGAAGAAAAAAAGAUUAUAAAAAUAUCACCAUAUCUUAAGUAUACAAAUAAAAUAGGAGUUUUCUUAGCGAAGUCUUUUUGAUCGAGUCCCUGGGGAGUACAAAACAUACGGACAAACUCCUUAUUUAAUAGCAAAAGACGCUGUCACAGUAGACCGCCGAUAUGAGAUUUUCUAUUAGUUGAAUGAUGGUGAGAAUAUUGUCCGUAACUUA